rnacentral:rRNA from 1 species
AUUGAACGCUGGCGGCAUGCCUUACACAUGCAAGUCGAACGGCAGCACGGGAGCAAUCCUGGUGGCGAGUGGCGAACGGGUGAGUAAUAUAUCGGAACGUGCCCAGUCGUGGGGGAUAACGUAGCGAAAGCUACGCUAAUACCGCAUACGAUCUAUGGAUGAAAGCGGGGGAUCGCAAGACCUCGCGCGAUUGGAGCGGCCGAUAUCAGAUUAGGUAGUUGGUGGGGUAAAAGCCUACCAAGCCUUCGGUCUGUAGCUGGUCUGAGAGGACGACCAGCCACACUGGAACUGAGACACGGUCCAGACUCCUACGGGAGGCAGCAGUGGGGAAUUUUGGACAAUGGGCGCAAGCCUGAUCCAGCAAUGCCGCGUGCAGGAUGAAGGCC